rnacentral:rRNA from 1 species
CUGACACAGGUGCUGCAUGGCUGUCGUCAGCUCGUGUCGUGAGAUGUGGGUUAAGUCCGUAACGAGCGCAACCCUUGUCCUUAGUUACCAGCACGUUAUGGUGGGCGACUCUAAGGAGGACUGCCGGUGGACAAACCGGAGGAAGGUGGGGAGUGACGUCAAGUCAUCAUGGCCCUUACGGCCUGGGCUACACACGUGCUACAAUGGUCGGUACAAAGGGUUGCCAAGCCGCGAGGUGGAGCUAAUCCCAUAAAACCGAUCGUAGUCCGGAUCGCAGUCUGCAACUCGACUGCGUGAAGUCGGAAUCGCUAGUAAUCGUGAAUCAGAAUGUCACGGUGAAUACGUUCCCGGGCCUU